CAGGGGUUAAAAACAUUUCUAGAAGUGUACUUUUCAAGGUAAUACAUUUCCCUCUUCCUUUCAAGAAUAAGGCUAGAUUGUUUCAUUAGUCUCAAGGUCUAAAGGCUCCAAACAGCUUGACUGAAGCCAGACACAGCCUGAUAUAACCUCUUCUUCUUUCCUAUGUUCCAGCCUGGGGAGGACCCAAUCCCAGAGGACACCCAUGGAAACAUCGCCUUUGACACAAUGGAUCUCUGUACCACGUGGGAGGAUCCGGUACUCAAUGCCAUUGCUGAAAACACCGGCGAACUCCAGCCCAGGUAGCCCUGCGCUACCAGCUGCAGCGGGGUGUGGUGGCUCUGGCCAAGAGCUUCAGUGAGAAGAGGAUCAAGGAGAACUUCCAGGUUUUUGAAUUCCAGUUGACCCCAGAGGACAUGGAAUGUCUGGAUGGCCUAAAUAGAAACAUACGCUAUUUUGACCAUGGCGAGGAAGCGGAUGGAAAACCUCUCUUUACUUCAAGCCCUCAUACCCUUGUUGCUCCACGCCCCUCAGUCCGUAUUCUUCCUGAAUUCCAGAAUCGAUCAACACGUUGACAUCCUUUGCACGUACUUUCAGGUCUCCUCGCUCUUCUUUGUCUUACUCCUUGGUCUAAAACCUGGCUUUUGUGAAGUAUUUUAUUAUGUCAGAUAUGUGAUUUUUACUGGAAUAAAAUUAAAGCAUUUAAAUUUGAAUGGCAGAGAUAAAGGAGAAGAAACUGGACCAACUUUUGUAUAGAUAAUAUUUUUCUAGUGGAAAUAAAAUAGCAUGCAGAUUUUCAAAAAAAAUAAAAAUAAAAAAUAAAACCUGGCUACAUCCUGCUGUCUGCCUGCG
rnacentral:lncRNA from 1 species